UUUCGGGGCGAGGUGCAAUUCCUCACCGGUGGUACAGUCCACGACCUGUCGCAGACAGCUGAUUCGGUGCAAUUCCGAAACCGACGGUUAAAGUCCGGAUGAAAGAAA
rnacentral:ncRNA from 1 species